rfam:Salmo salar isolate Sally breed double haploid chromosome ssa01, whole genome shotgun sequence.
UUGGUUCCAAUUUGUAAGUCGCUCUGGAUAAGAGCGUCUGCUAAAUGACGUAAA